GUCUUUUUUUUCUUCUUUUAGGGCUGCACCUGAGGCAUAUGGAAGUUCCCAGGCUAAUAGUCUAAUUGGAGCUGCAGCCGCUGGCCUAUGCCACAGCCACAGCAACAUGGGAUCCUAGCCAAGUCUGUGACCUACACCAGAGCUCACGGCAAUGCCGGAUCCUUAACCCACUGAGCAAGGCCAGGGAUCGAACCUGAAAUCUCAUGGUUCCUAGUCGGAUUCGUUAACCACUGCGCCACGAUGGGAACUCCUUUGGUUUUUUUUUUUUUUUUUUUAAUAGCAGCCAUCAUAAUGUGUGAGGUGUUUUUGAUUUGCACUUUGCUAAUAUUAGUGAUAGUACCUUUUCAUGUGCUUAUUGGCCAUUUGUAUAUCUUCUUUGGAAAAAUGUUAAUUCAAGUCCCUUGCCCAUUUUUUUAAAAAAUUAAAAAAUUUUUUAAUUGCUGCACCUGCAGCAAAUGAAAGUUUCCAGGCUGGGGAUUAAACCCACACCAUCACAUUGAUCUGAGUUGCCGUAGUUGGAUUCUUAACCCACAGUGCCACAGUGGGAACUUCCUUGCCCAUUUUUGAAUGGAGGGUUUUUGUUUUUUGUUUUUUUCUUUUUCAGCCACCCCAUGGCAUAUGGGGUCAGAACUGAGUUUACACUGCAGCUGUGGCAACACAGUACCCUUAACCCAGUGUGCUGGGUGGGGGAUCAAACCUGCAUCCCAGUACUACAGAGAUGCUGCUCAUUUUGUUGCACCACAGCAGGAACUCCAGAACUGAGUUGUUGUUGAGUUUUAGUAAUUCUAUGUUUGGGUAUUAAUCCCUUUUCAAAUAUAUGAUUUGCAAAUAUUUUCUUUUUUUUUAUUUGCAAAUUUUUUUUUUGAUUUGCAAAUAUUUUCUUCUGUGGGUUGUGUUUUUACUCUCUUGAUGGUGUAUUUUGAUGCACAAAAUUUAAAAAUUUUCAGGAAGUCUGGUUUGUCUGUUUCUUUCAUUACCUGUAUCUUUGGUGUCAUAGCCAAGAAAUCAUUGCCAAAUCCAAUUUCAUGAAACUUUUGUCUGUGUUUUCUUCUAAGUGUUUUAUUGUUUUAAGUUUUGUAUUUGGGUUUUUUGUUUUCUUGGUUUUUUCUUUUUAGGGCAGCACCUAACAGCAUAUGGAAGUUCCCAGGCUUGGGGUUGAGUUGGAGCUGCAGUUGCUGGCUUGCACCACAUCUAUGGCAACUCCAGAUCUUCUAGAUCUGAGCCACGUCUGUGACCUACACCUCAGCUCGGGCAACGCUGGAUGCCUUAACCGACUGAAUGAGGCCAGGGAUCAAACCCACAUCCUCAUGGAUACUAGUAGGGUUCUUAACCCACCGAGCCAUAAUGGGAACUCCUGUAUUUAGGUUUUUGAUCCAUUUUGAAUUAAUUUUUGUACAUGGUAUUAGUUAAGAGUCCAGCUUCAUUCUUUUACGAAUAGAUACGCAGUUUUCCUAGCACUGUUUAAAAGACCUUUUUUUCCCUCCAUUGGAUGAUCUUGGAACCCUUGUCAGAAAUCAUUUGACUAUAUAUGCAAUAGUUUUUUUCUGGGCUAUUUUAUUCCAUAGGUCUGCAUAUCUGUUUAUGCCAUACCACACUGUAUUGAUUACUGUAGCUUUGAAAUCGGGAUAUGUGAAUCCUUCAGUUUUGUUCUUUUUCAAGGUUGUUUUGGUUAUCUAGGGUCCCUUGAGAUCCCAUAUAAAUUUUUCUAGGAUGGGUAUUUCUGUUUCUACAAAAAAUGUCAUUGGGAUUUUGGCAAGGAUUGCGUUGAAUCUGUACAUGGCUUUGGCCAGUAUUGACUUUUUUUAAAUUUUUUUUUUACUUUUUCCAUUAUAGUUGGUUUACAGUGUUCUGUCAGUUUUCUAAUAUACAGCAAAGUGACCCAGUCACACACACACACAUAUAUAUAUACAUUCUUUUUCUCACAUUAUCCUCCAUCAUGUUCCAUCACAAGUGACUAGAUAUAGUUCCCUGUGCUAUACAGCAGGAUCUCAUUGCUAGUAUUGACUUUUUAAUGAUAUUAACUCUUCCAAUCGAUGCACAUGGGAUGUGUUAAUAUUUAUGUCUUUAAUUUUUUCAGUAAUAUUUUGUAGUUUUCAUUGUAUAUAAGUCUUUCACCUCCUUGGUUAGUCUUUAAGUAUUUUUUUUUUUGAUGAUAAAGAUGGAAAUAUAUUUGUAAUUUCCUGUUAUAUUGUUCAUUAUGUUAGAAAUGCAACUGAUUUUUAUGUGUUGAGUGGGUAUCCUCCUAUUUUGCUGAAUUCAUUUAUUCUAACAAUUUUUUUGGUGGAAUCUUCAGGGUUUCCUACAUAUAAGAUCAUGUCCCCCCAAUAUUAAAACACCUUCCUGUUCAUUCAGUGGAUAUACUAUAAUUUGCUAUGGGCUAUUUCUAGUUGUUGGUGUUUUUUGUUUGUUUGCUAUGUUUUUUUAAGGGCCACACCUGCAGCAUAUGGAAGUUCCCAUGCUGGGGGUCGAAUUGGAGCUUCAGCUGCUGGCCUGCAACGCAGGAUCUGAGCCGAAUCUGCAACUACACCACAGCUCACUGCAAUGCUGGAUCCUUAAUCCAUUGAGUCAGGCCAAGUUUUGAACCUCUGUCCUCCUAGAUAUUAGUCGGGUUCCUUACCACUGAGCCACAAUGGCAACUAUUCUUUCUUUCUUUUAAAUUAAAUGGCCAUGUCUGUGGCAUAUGGAAGUUCCCAGAGCAGAAAUUGAAUCAGCUAUAGCUGCAAACUGUGCUCCAGCUGCAGCAACACCAAGUGCUUUAAAUCCCUUCACCAGGCCAAGGAUCAAACUUGUGCCUCUGCAGCAACCCAAGCUGCUGCAAUCAGAUUCUUUUUGUUUGUUUUGCUUUUUAGGGCUGCACCCGUGGCACAUGGAGGUUCCUAGGCCAGGAGCCAAAUCGGAGCUGCAGCUGCUGGCCUGCAUCACAGCUCAUGGAAAUGCCGGAUCCUCAGCCCACUGAGCAAAGCCAGUGGUUGAACCUGAGUCCUCAUAGAUGCUAGUCAGAUUUGUUCACCACUGAGCCAUGAAGGGGAACUUCUGCAGAUUCCUAACCCACUGAUCACAGCAGGAACUCCUAUUUUAGUUUUUUAUUAUAAAAUAUAGAAAGAGAACUGACAUUUAAGUUGUAGAUCUCUAAGUACAGCGCACAUAUGAUGUACAUCACCAUCCCUGAGAGUGUUUUUUUAGGAUAGAUUCUCAGAAAUACUUGAUUCUUCUCUCUUCUCAUUCAGUAAUAGAGAAUUGAAUUCUUCUUCUUUUUUUUUUUUUUUUUUUUUUUUUUUGCCAUUUCUUGGGCCACUCCUGUGGCAUAUGGAGGAUCCCAGGCUAGGAAUUGGAGCUGUAGACGCUGGCCUAUGUCAGAGCCAUGGCAACUCAGGAUCUGAGCCGAGUCUGCAACCUAUACCACAGCUCACGGCAACACCGGAUCCUUAACCCACUGAGCAAGGCCAGGGAUCGAACCCGAAACCUCAUGGUUGCUCAUCGGAUUUGUUAACCACUGAGCCAAGACGGGAACUCCGAGAACUGAAUUCUUUAUUGCCAUCUCCUUAAGUUGGCCCCCACCUCCCUGCCUCUAAUGCUGCCCCUCUUUCAGUCUGUUUUCCACAGUGCAGCUGAUGCAGAGUGAGGGUCAGGAUUGGUGCACUUUUCCCGCAUAGAAAACAAGACUUAGGAAGCAGAUUGCUUCUGCAUUAUCUGUUCUUGUGGGAGUUAGGAAAAAAAAGUUUUUGAAAGCUAGAGUGCACUUCCUGGAUGAGUUGGGAUUUAGUUUGAUUCUUAAAGGGUGAACAGCAUUUCAGUAAGUGGAGAAAAGGUAGGGAUGAAAUGUGAACCUGUUGGAAGGUAAUUAGAAGUUUAGGCAGGUGGACUUAGAUGACUAGACAAGGAGAGGUAGAAGAACUAGUUCUACAGAUUGUUUAUUCUGUUUAUCUGAAAAGUGAGCUAUGGUGUUGACGUGUGGGAGACCUGAUAUAUGGUGGUAAAGAAGGCUGAUGGUGUGUCCGGAAUACCAGGGCCUUCAACUUUAUUUGUAAUGUUUUUAUUUAUAGAGUUGUGGAUACCUUGGGGAUUGUUAUCUAAUUUGGUUUUUUAAAAUUAAUAUAGUUUCAGAGUAUGUGUACUUUUUUAUUGAUAUAUCAUUCACAUAAAAUUCAUCAUCUGAGAGUGUAUAAUUUAGUGGGUUUUUUUUUUUAGUAUAUUCACAAGGUUGUAUAAGCAUUACUAGCAUCAAAUUCUGUAACAUGUUCAUAACUCCAGAAAGAAAUGCCAUACCUACUUGCUGUCAGUCCCAGUUCCCUCCUCUCUUCCUCACCUGGCAACCACUUACUGUGUGUGGAUUUGCUUGUUUCUAGAUGUUUCAUAGAGAUAUAAUCAUAAAACCUGUGGCCUUUUAUACCUGACUUUCAUUUAAUUAGUACGGUAUAUUCAGAGUUGAUGCACAUUGUAGCAUGUGUCAGUACUUCAUUCCUUUUUUAUUGCUUAAUAAUCUGUUGUAUGAAUAUAUCACAUUUUGUUUAUCUGAUCAUCAGUUGAUAGACAGUUGAGUUGCUUCCAUUUUUUUUCACUGUUAUGAAUAACGCUACCAUGGCACAGUGGGUUAAAAAUCUGACUGUUGGUGGCUCCGGUGGCUACAGAGGCAAGGAUUCGAUCCCUGGCCCAGCACAGUGGGUUAAAGGAUCCGGUGUUGCUUCAGCUGUGGCUCAGGUUCAGUCUUUGGACCGGGAACUUCCAUGUGCUAUGGGUGCGGCCAUAAAUAAAUUUUUUUUUAAAAAUGCUGUUGUGAAUUUUCACAUAAUGGAAGUUUUUGUGUGGACAUAUAUUUUCACUUAGCUUGGCUGUAUACCUAGGAGUGAGAUUGCUGAGUCACAUAAUAAUUCUGUUUUUAACUUUUUGAGGAACUGCACAACUAUUUUCCACAGUGGCUGUACCAUUUUACAUUUCCACCAACAAUGAAUGAGGGUUCCCACUGUAUAUUCUUUAUACAUUUUUUGACAGUCUGUAUGUAAUAGUUGUGUGUUUAUGUUUAAACAGCGCUGUUGAGGUACAAUGGGCAUACCACAAACUGCACGUAUAUAAAGUGUAUAUACCUUGAUAAGUUUAUAUUUAUACACCUGUGAAACCAUCAUCACAAUCAAGACAGUAAACAUAUGCCUCAUCCCAGAAAUUCGCACAACAUUGUAAAUCAUUUAUACUUAAAAAAAAAAAAAA
rnacentral:lncRNA from 1 species